rnacentral:tRNA from 1 species
GGGGCCAUAGCUCAGCUGGGAGAGCGCUUGACUGGCAGUCAAGAGGUCGGGAGUUCGAGCCUCCCUGGCUCCACCA